rnacentral:sRNA from 1 species
CGUCGCUGUCACCUGAGCAGGGUCGACAGACCGGGCGCCCACAGCCCCGGACCGAAAAAUAUAUAAGUGCUGGCUCACCACAUGAUGGGUGCCAGCCCAACAAGAAAUUUCGGAUGUACGCGCACCUCGGGACGAGGUGGGUAAUACC